AAGAUACCUGGCCUUACCCGAAUGUCCUCCGGAUCCAGGCUGUGCUCACUCCAAGCUGAAUUGAUGCUGCUGUUCAGUUUCAACCUAUGUUUGGGAUGUUCAUAAAGGAUCUGGCUCAUACAAAGUUAUCAAGACAAGAAAUGGCUUAUUCAUAUACACAGCUUCUCAAAGUAACACGACCUUAUUGGAGGAUAAUAGCUAAUUGCUAAGAGGAAAAGCUUCAUGUGGAGUCACGCUGCCAGUGAUGCUUUGCACAGCCAUAACCUUGCUGAAAUGUGGAUCUCAGAACACUGACUGUCCAUCCACAAGCCAAGCUGUUCUAUCUGCCAACAUUCCAGCAUAUUUCCACAUGAAUUUAAACAUUAGACAGUUAUCCAACUACUGAAAAUCCCCUAAAUAAACCAAUCUUUCGGGAGCUAUGUUUAAAAACCCUGACAUGACCAAAAGUCAAAAGCCAAAAAAAAAAAAAAAAAGAAGAAGAAGAAGAAGAAAGAAAGAAACUUUCCUACAAACCUGCAAUGAGAUUUAGGGAAAAUCCAAAUUGUCCAUCAUGGUAGCUGCGCUGAGUGCUGGGAACAGUUUCCAGCCCAGUUACAGGCUUAGAACAGGAACUGAGGAAAUCAUCUCAGUGGACCAUUUCCUUUUUCUGUUCUACUUCCUCCCAUGGCUCCACAACCUUCAUUACCCAGUUGGCAAUCUCAGAGCCAUGUUACACACCUCAUGUUAAGUGCUCACAUGCCUUCAUGACUUGUAACUUUCAUGGCCUAAGCCUCUCAUUUGCCCCAUGUAACCCACUCACCAAAAAUGAGGGACACAGUCUCCCAAAACUGCAUUUUGAUAAAAUCAGAAUUUUCCCAUACGCUGCCAGUGACUUUGGGUUUGUGUAUCACAUCUCUACUGGCAGAUUUAUUCAAGCCCUUAGAACAGUGGAAAUAAUUCCCAUCCCAAAGGAAGACAUGCCUUUGGCUUCAGGAUGUUCCUGGCAGUCCUGUUAGCUGCCCACACUGCUUCACUUUAUUCCUCAUUGCCUGUCUGUAUCUUAGACUCUGAAUCACAGCGUGGUUUGUGAGCAGCCUUGUGAGAGGGAUCAACUGUAUCUCCAUUCAGAAAUCUGCAGUGGUUCACUGCUGUCGUCCACAGCUGCAUCCUGGCACUGGUACCCAUCUGCAACAUGACUUCAUGGUACAUGCCUACUGUCAUCCUCCAGUGUGCACCAACAGAGACUCUCUGAACUGACGCAUUGUCCUAUUGCACUUUGAAUGCUACAAAGAUUGGUAUUGGGUCUGGCAAGAUGGUUCAGUGCAAAAAGGUGCUUGCUACCAAGAGAGGUGAUCUGAAUUCCAGCCCCAGAAUCCACAUGGUGGAAGGAGAGAAGGAAGGAGAGAAUCAACUCCUACAAGUUGUCGUCUGUGUUCUAUACACACAGGC